rnacentral:rRNA from 1 species
UGCAAGUCGAACGAUGGUCCCCAGCUUGCUGGGGGGAUUAGUGGCGAACGGGUGAGUAACACGUGAGUAACCUGCCCUUGACUCUGGGAUAAGCCUGGGAAACUGGGUCUAAUACCGGAUACGACUCCCUGCCGCAUGGUGGGGGGUGGAAAGCUUUUGCGGUUUUGGAUGGACUCGCGGCCUAUCAGCUUGUUGGUGGGGUAAUGGCCUACCAAGGCGACGACGGGUAGCCGGCCUGAGAGGGUGACCGGCCACACUGGGACUGAGACACGGCCCAGACUCCUACGGGAGGCAGCAGUGGGGAAUAUUGCACAAUGGGCGGAAGCCUGAUGCAGCGACGCCGCGUGAGGGAUGACGGCCUUCGGGUUGUAAACCUCUUUCAGUAGGGAAGAAGCGCAAGUGACGGUACCUGCAGAAGAAGCGCCGGCUAACUACGUGCCAGCAGCCGCGGUAAUACGUAGGGCGCAAGCGUUAUCCGGAAUUAUUGGGCGUAAAGAGCUCGUAGGCGGUUUGUCGCGUCUGCUGUGAAAGACCGGGGCUCAACCCCGGUUCUGCAGUGGGUACGGGCAGACUAGAGUGAUGUAGGGGAGACUGGAAUUCCUGGUGUAGCGGUGAAAUGCGCAGAUAUCAGGAGGAACACCGAUGGCGAAGGCAGGUCUCUGGGCAUUAACUGACGCUGAGGAGCGAAAGCAUGGGGAGCGAACAGGAUUAGAUACCCUGGUAGUCCAUGCCGUAAACGUUGGGCACUAGGUGUGGGGGACAUUCCACGUUUUCCGCGCCGUAGCUAACGCAUUAAGUGCCCCGCCUGGGGAGUACGGCCGCAAGGCUAAAACUCAAAGGAAUUGACGGGGGCCC